rnacentral:rRNA from 1 species
UACGUAGGGUGCAAGCGUUGUCCGGAAUUAUUGGGCGUAAAGAGCUCGUAGGCGGUUUGUUGCGUCGGCUGUGAAAUCCCGAGGCUCAACCUCGGGUCUGCAGUCGAUACGAGCAAACUAGAGUGUUGCAGGGGAGACUGGAAUUCCUGGUGUAGCGGUGAAAUGCGCAGAUAUCAGGAGGAACACCGGUGGCGAAGGCGGGUCGUCUGGGCAACAACUGACGCUGAGGAGCGAAAGCGUGGGGAGCGAACAGG